rnacentral:tRNA from 1 species
GCCCCGUUAGCUCAGUCGGUAGAGCAUGAGACUUUUAAUCUCAGGGUCACGGGUUCGAGCCCCGUACGAGGCU